rnacentral:rRNA from 1 species
CCUACGGGAGGCUGCAGUGGGGAAUAUUGCACAAUGGGCGCAAGCCUGAUGCAGCCAUGCCGCGUGUGUGAAGAAGGCCUUCGGGUUGUAAAGCACUUUCAGCGGGGAGGAAGGCGUUAAGGUUAAUAACCUUGUCGAUUGACGUUACCCGCAGAAGAAGCACCGGCUAACUCCGUGCCAGCAGCCGCGGUAAUACGGAGGGUGCAAGCGUUAAUCGGAAUUACUGGGCGUAAAGCGCACGCAGGCGGUCUGUCAAGUCGGAUGUGAAAUCCCCGGGCUCAACCUGGGAACUGCAUUCGAACUGGCAGGCUAGAGUCUUGUAGAGGGGGGGAGAAGUCCAGGUGUAGGGGUGAAAUGCGUAGAGAUCUGGAGGAAUAGCGGUGGCGAAGGCGGACCCCUGGACAAAGACUGACGCUCAGGUGCGAAAGCGUGGGGAGCAAACAGGAUGAGUACCCCGGGAGUC